rnacentral:lncRNA from 1 species
AAAUUCUGAUUGCAUCACGCAUGCAAAAUUGUUUUAGCGAAUUUAAAAAAGUCAUAACUUUUAAACCGAAGAUAUAAAUUAAAUUUUGAUUGCACCAUUAAAUUUCUCAUAACAAAUCCUUCAAAACAAGAUCGCACAUGGAUAUAUUUAGAUAAAAUUUUAUUAAUGAAUAUUUAUCUCUACAACUAAAAAUUAUGGAGAGGACCUAUCCAAAACUUUCAUCCCUUUGGUGGUUUUUUUACUGCGCGAUGACACACUAUCCCAUCAACCUAGGCCUCACUCACCUAAAAUUGUUUUAGCGAAUUAAAAAAAUCAUACCUCCUAAACUAGAGAUAUAAAUUAAAUUCUGAUUGCAUCAUUAAAUUUUUUAUAACAAAUUCUUCAAAACAAGAUCACACAUGAAUAUUUAUCUUAUAGAGAUAAAAUAUUUUCUUUUAUUAAGUAGAAACAAUAUUCUAGGUUCAAUGGACAAUGUUCUGUCUUUGUAAAAAAAAUGUUAUCGAUUUAGAAGAAUAGUAUUUUGGUUUUAGGUUUAUGAAACUGAUAUUACAAUAUACAUAAAAAUACAUAAAUACAUGACAUAGAUAAAAAUAAUAAAAAAAUCUAG